GAUGAACGCUGGCGGCGUGCCUAAUACAUGCAAGUCGAGCGAACAGACGAGAAGCUUGCUUCUCUGAUGUUAGCGGCGGACGGGUGAGUAACACGUGGAUAACCUACCUAUAAGACUGGGAUAACUUCGGGAAACCGGAGCUAAUACCGGAUAAUAUUUUGAACCGCAUGGUUCAAAAGUAAAAGACGGUCUUGCUGUCACUUAUAGAUGGAUCCGCGCUGCAUUAGCUAGUUGGUAAGGUAACGGCUUACCAAGGCAACGAUGCAUAGCCGACCUGAGAGGGUGAUCGGCCACACUGGAACUGAGACACGGUCCAGACUCCUACGGGAGGCAGCAGUAGGGAAUCUUCCGCAAUGGGCGAAAGCCUGACGGAGCAACGCCGCGUGAGUGAUGAAGGUCUUCGGAUCGUAAAACUCUGUUAUUAGGGAAGAACAUAUGUGUAAGUAACUGUGCACAUCUUGACGGUACCUAAUCAGAAAGCCACGGCUAACUACAUGCCAGCAGCCGCGGUAAUACGUAGGUGGCAAGCGUUAUCCGGAAUUAUUGGGCGUAAAGCGCGCGUAGGCGGUUUUUUAAGUCUGAUGUGAAAGCCCACGGCUCAACCGUGGAGGGUCAUUGGAAACUGGAAAACUUGAGUGCAGAAGAGGAAAGUGGAAUUCCAUGUGUAGCGGUGAAAUGCGCAGAGAUAUGGAGGAACACCAGUGGCGAAGGCGACUUUCUGGUCUGUAACUGACGCUGAUGUGCGAAAGCGUGGGGAUCAAACAGGAUUAGAUACCCUGGUAGUCCACGCCGUAAACGAUGAGUGCUAAGUGUUAGGGGGUUUCCGCCCCUUAGUGCUGCAGCUAACGCAUUAAGCACUCCGCCUGGGGAGUACGACCGCAAGGUUGAAACUCAAAGGAAUUGACGGGGACCCGCACAAGCGGUGGAGCAUGUGGUUUAAUUCGAAGCAACGCGAAGAACCUUACCAAAUCUUGACAUCCUUUGACAACUCUAGAGAUAGAGCCUUCCCCUUCGGGGGACAAAGUGACAGGUGGUGCAUGGUUGUCGUCAGCUCGUGUCGUGAGAUGUUGGGUUAAGUCCCGCAACGAGCGCAACCCUUAAGCUUAGUUGCCAUCAUUAAGUUGGGCACUCUAAGUUGACUGCCGGUGACAAACCGGAGGAAGGUGGGGAUGACGUCAAAUCAUCAUGCCCCUUAUGAUUUGGGCUACACACGUGCUACAAUGGACAAUACAAAGGGCAGCGAAACCGCGAGGUCAAGCAAAUCCCAUAAAGUUGUUCUCAGUUCGGAUUGUAGUCUGCAACUCGACUACAUGAAGCUGGAAUCGCUAGUAAUCGUAGAUCAGCAUGCUACGGUGAAUACGUUCCCGGGUCU
rnacentral:rRNA from 1 species